rnacentral:pre_miRNA from 1 species
UAUAAUAUUUGACUUUUCGUCUUGUUUAAAAUUUUUUCACAAUUAAUGUUUUUAUCAUUAUUAGAUAAUAAAACAUGAAUAAUAUUUUACACGUGACUAUUUUUUUAAGGUUUUCCUAUAAAUAUUUUAAAUAAGACGGAUGGUCAAACAUUAUACACAGAA